UUGUAAAGAUUAUUCAAAUUACCGAAAAUAUGUAAAAAAAAAAUUUAAUUUUACUAUACACACAAAAAAAAAGCAUAUUCUCUUGAAUCAUGUUUAUAUGAUGUCAAAACUCGACGCGGAGGGUAAAUUCUUAAACGAAGACAAAAAUAUAUAUUUACCAUCAUGAAAUUCAAGAAUAAUCUGCAAUCAAAAAUGGAAAAUUAUAAAAAUUGAACCAAUACGAACCAUCUAGAGUUUGAACUAAGGAACAACGACUACUCGCACAAUGAUUCAUGGCAUCUCCGCUAUAGAGUUAACAGCAGCAAGACCAGAAUAUAGCUUCUGUUUUAAGGCAAUUAUAUUUAAGAGUUUAAACGAUUUUAAACCACAGUGCUUCCGUUUUGCAAGCUAGCUUGGCCAAAAGUUGAUCCAGCUAGCCUUAGGCUGUAACUUGAAAACUUAUUUUCCCACACACAAGCUCGCACCAAGAGGAGUGUAUCUUUUAUCCUGUUCGCCGCUUACCAUGCUAGGCAAAAGUGUGGAUACUCGUAUCUAAUAUCUCCACAA